UACGGGAGGCAGCAGUGGGGAAUAUUGCACAAUGGGCGAAAGCCUGAUGCAGCGACGCCGCGUGAGGGAUGACGGCCUUCGGGUUGUAAACCUCUUUCGCUCAUGGUCAAGCCACAGCUUUGGGUUGUGGUGAGGGUAGUGGGUAAAGAAGCGCCGGCUAACUACGUGCCAGCAGCCGCGGUAAUAUGUAGGGCGCGAGCGUUGUCCGGAAUUAUUGGGCGUAAAGGGCUUGUAGGCGGUUGGUCGCGUCUGCCGUGAAAUCCUCUGGCUUAACUGGGGCGUGCGGUGGUACGGGCUGACUUGAGUGCGGUAGGGGAGACUGGAACUCCUGGUGUAGCGGUGGAAUGCGCAGAUAUCAGGAAGAACACCGGUGGCGAAGGCGGGUCUCUGGGCCGUUACUGACGCUGAGGAGCGAAAGCGUGGGGAGCGAACAGGGAUUAGAUACC
rnacentral:rRNA from 1 species